UAACCGUAGGUGAACCUGCGGUUGGAUCAUUAACAAAAUGAUAAAAGUCCAGGCCGUAAAACGCCUGGCUUUUAUAAACACCUGUGAACUGUAAUUGUAUCUGGUGGGUUAAAAGGGGGGCAGUUAGCCCUCUAGUGAUUGUUGACCCCCAGUGGUCAGCAUCAUUACCCACCGCCAAAUUUUAACUUUUAUAUCUUGAAUUAGUUUUUAUUAAUUAAAAUAAUAUUAACAACUUUUGACAACGGAUCUCUAGGCUCUC
rnacentral:misc_RNA from 1 species